UAAUAUUUUGUAACACUGCGUAUUGAAUCCAGGGUGCUCUACAACUGAGCUACAUUCCCAGCACUUUUUGCUUUUUAUUUUGAAACAGGAUCUCACUGAGUUGCCCAGCCUGGUCCCCAGUUCAUAAUGGCUUACCGUGGCCUCCCAAAUUGCUGGGAUGACAGGCAUUCACCACCAUUUGCGGCUGCAUUAAUAAUUUUAAAGAGGGAUUUAGAAUGCCACUUUUCAUAAUGUCUGCAGAUUGCAUCUGAAGACAGUGUUUGUUUAAACAUAAAUCUGAGCCAGGCGUGGUGGUGCACACCUAUGAUCUCAGUGACUCUGAGGCUGAGACAGGAGAAUUACAGGUUUGAAGCCUUGCUCUGCAACUUAGUAAGACUCUGUGUCAAAAUAAAAAGAAAAAAAAAAGAAGGAUUAGAGAUAUAACUCAUCAGAAGAGAACCCUUGGGUUCAAUCCCCAGUGUCACCAAAAGAAAAAAAGAAAGUGCUUUCACCAGGAUGAGAAUUCUGCUUACUUGAAGCUUCUGCGGCAGAUGCUGCUGACUCCUGGACCCUGGGAGCCCAGUAUCACCCUCGGACAGGGUGGAACUGAAAUCGGACAGAUCUGGGCUUCUCACCCAGGGGAGGGUAGGUUUCCUUCACGGGCACGAGCCACGUGUUUGGUGGUAGGGCAGGGGAGGGAUGGUGCUGCCCGCUGUGUCCAGGGUCCACUGGCUGGGGCACCUCCAGCAAUGCCCGGUGUCUUUAACUUCCCGUCACACACUUUUCCUCUUUCCUUCUGAUGUUCCUUCCCUCCCGACUUCUGUGAGGGAGGCAGGAUUAUGGCCACAGGCCACCACCAGGGCAUUCAGAGUGAUGCCGGGGCAGACAGAGGCCAGCGGAGGGCACCUGCUUGGGCGGUCAGAGGCUGGGCUGCUGGAGUGGCAGCUCCGAUGAGUGACUCUGAUUCUAAUUUGUGGAUUUCUGAAAAGUGUGUGCUGCUGAGUUGUUCACUGUUGGAAGGAGAUGACAGAAGAGCCAGAGACGGGAGGCUGGCCCUGGGAGGCUGGCCCGGCACUAUUAGAACAGGAGAGUUCUGCUGUGACAGUGUAAAAUAUUUGCUCAUCUUGCUGUUGAUUAGAAAAGAGGCUCUUUGUUCUGAAAGGCCUUGAAAGUGAAGGUUAAGGAGGGGGGCUGGGCGGGACGCAGUGAACGUCUCCUCCUCCCUGGGGGCCUCCCUGGACCUGCCCUGCUGCCUGCCUGCUCUCCCAGCCCUCCUGCUUCUCCUCUAAGCCCCUCAACCCAGCUUGUGUUGGGGAGGGGCAGCUCCACCUGUUUGAUCCGUGCAGUUGUGUGGCUGCACGAGGCCAGGGACUGUGCUUCCUCCUGCUGUCGGGUCCCUGCCUGUUUGCCGCAUGGUGGGCACAUGACACUACAGGGAGUAAAUGGAAACAGUGCCCUGGGCUCUGAAUUCAGAGGCCGGUGGCCUGGACUUUCAACCAGUUUUAUACUUAUUAGCUCCAAGAGGUUGGCCUUUAGCGUCUCAUCUCUCUACUGUACUGGUUAAUGUAAGAAUCCAUGAAAAAUGUCAGUCUCCUUUUGUGAGCUGUGGCUGCUACAGAAACUUAACACACGCGUCUUUCUUCACUUGUCACCUACGUGGUGAGCACUUCCCAGUUCCUUAGCUGGAUCUGGACUGGGGAAGUGAGGGAGCCCAGGCAGCUGAGUGGCUUCAAGUCUGGACUUGCCUCUGCCUGUCACCACCCUGUUCUGCAGAUGAGCUACUUGCAGUCUUGACUGUUGUCCUAAUUACAGAUGUUUAUUACAAGGUGUUUAGAGGGCUACACUGCAGAAGGUGGUACAGGACCGUUCAUUCUUCCUCUUGCUUAUUAAUUUAUUCAGCAAACUGUCUUAGAUGCUAGGAAAUUAAAUUUUUUUUAAAGUCAUACGGUCCAGUGAGGGAGACAGAACUCAAACAGGUAGACAGAUCAUACAAGAUUGUAAGUUGAGAUAACUCCAGGGAAGAAGUAAAUUAGGCACUGCUCUGGUGGGUAAGGUUGGCUGGAGCCAUAGUUGGAGCAAUUAGAGCCCUCUAUUAGCUGGGACUUGGUGGAGAAAACAAGCCAACCAUGCCGAAAGCAAAAGUGGUGUUAAGAACUUUCUGGGCAGAGAGAAUGGCUGUGGGAAGGCCCUGAGGCUGGGGAAUCUAGGGCAGAGAAGACAGUGGCCAGGUAAGUCCUGGGCUGAGGCCGGGUCCUGCUUGCCUGAGACCUGUGGUGUGUGGGUUUCAGAUCCCUCACUGCAUGAGCCCAGGACUUUCCCAGUCUCAGAGCCAAACUCAAACUGUUGCCUAAAAGAUUUCACAUUUUCAGACUCAUCGAAACCUGGGAGAUAUUCUUAUCUCUGCCCUCUGCCAACCACCCCGCCUCAUCUCUAAUCACUCAGCAAAUCCUUCUGAUUACAUCUUCAAAUAGCUUUGCAAAUCCAUUCUCUCCCCUCCACUCCCCUGCGGAAGCCUCGGUCAGCCCAUGUGCCUCUCUCCUGGGCUGCCAGGUCCAGCCAGCAGUGGCCUGAAACUCGCCCGGGGGAGGUGCUGGGGAAGUCUGACGAGCGUUUGCAAGUUUCCUAGUAUCAAUCCUCGCACAGUGGCCUAUCUUAGCCACCAACACACCGGGUUGGAAGUGACAUGGGAGACGUGUGCAGCUGAGUUUCUUGGACCAGAACAAGCCAGCAGCAGCCCUCAGGUGUGCCCACUCCCUUCUGGUAACACAGCCCCUGUGAUCUUUUAAUUCUGAUCCUGCCCCUCCCUUCCACGAUGCCUUCCCACUGUGUUCUGACUUUAUCAUGAUCUGGGUGGACAUGUCUUGAAAGGUUAGCCCAGCCCUGGUCCUAGUUCUUAUUGAGAAUUUUGGAUCAAACCCUGAAUCCACAUCCAGAUCUCAGCCCUGAGUCCGCUGAGUGACCUUGGCAACCCCUGGGAGGGCAAUUAGCUCCUUUAGUUUGAUGGAGGAUGCUGCAACUCUGAGAAGGUGCAUGAGUAAGUGUGCUAGUCAGCUUUCCAUUACUAUAACAAAUACCUGAGACAAGCAACUUAUAAAGAGGAAGGGUUUAUUUUGACUCACAAUUUUAGAGGUUCUUGUCCAUGAUCAGUUGCCCACAUUAUGUUCAGGCUUUGGUGAGAUGUCACACAGCCAUGGCAGGGAGCACAGACCAUAGCAAAACUGAUCAGCUCGUGGCUGGGAAGUGAAGGAGAUAGACGGAGGUCCAACUAUUGGCUUUCAGGGCAUGCCCACCGUGAACCUAAGACCUCCUGCGAGGCUCCACCCGCUGAAGUCCCACCACCUCCCAAUAGCAGCACCAGGCUGGGGAGCAAGCCAACACACAGGCCUCGGGGGCAUUGAAGGUGUAAACCAAGGCAGUGAGUGUAGGAUGAUAAAGCAAACCUUGCUGUUGACAUUUUGUACUAAGUUGAGAAUAAGUGGGUCAUUUUUGUGGUAUGUUUUGUUAAUUAUUGAAGAUGUUUGAAAAGUUUUCACUAUGAUCAGACAUAUUGAGUUGUGUUUUUAAUUUAAAAUGUUCCGAAAUAUUUUAUAUUAGACUUAUUAUUUUAAUUUGAAAUAUAUAAAAAUGUCAAUAUACAACUAAUGGUUAUAUGUUUAAGAUAACCUGAUGGGUCACAUACAGGUUUGAUUUUUUCAGGUUUGCAGGAGUUUCUCAAGGGCUUCCACAGCCUCUGCUCCUAAGGCUACACCUGUUGGAAAUUAGAAGGGGCUGAGGUGAUCACAUACAUUACAUUUAGAGAUGUGAUAUUUAUAUCAACAUUAUGAAUGUAUAAACAGAAUAACAAUAAUCUUAAUUUGAACCUGAGGGCUUUCAGAACUAGGUUUCAAACAUCUUAAACUGGGUUAAACUUAAAGGCAUUUUAGAACUAGCUUUUAAAAUUUACAACUUUAAGUAUCAUGUAUGAGUCAGGGAACUGCCGUGCUCCUUUGAUGUACAAGAGCAUCCCUUUGACCAUAAAAACUUGACUGCUGCACCUACGCGUGUGCAGGGAAAUUUCUGGAAGGAGAAACAUGUAGUGAUCCCUCCUGGGAGGAAGGGAGAGUUUCAUUUUGUCAAUCUUCUGUACAGUUUUAAUUUUUAAAAUUGUAUAUCUAAUUACUUUCAACGAGAAGCAGAGAGCAGUUUAAAAAGACCCGUGAAGAAAGACAAAUGCUGCCUGUUCUUGCUCAUAUGAGGAAGCUAAAAAGUCUGACCUUAUGGAAGUGGAGAGUGGGACAGUGUCCCAGAGGCUGGGAGAGGAGGCGGAGAGCGGGGGCCCUUGACAGCGGAGCCAGAGAACAGGCAGGAGGUGGGUGUCCCAGCCCUCCAGGCACAGGAGCAUGACGAUGGGAUGCAGCUGCUUAUGAUGUAUUUUAUGAGAAACUAGAAGAGUCGGAAGGGGAACACCAAGAAUGGUAAGUGUUUGAUGAAGUGGAAAGGCUGAUUGCCCUGGUUUGAUCAUUACACAUUGUGUACAUGAAUUAUCACACUGUACCCAUAAGUAGGUAUGAUUAUUAUGAACCAGUUUUUAAAAAGGCCCAUGGAGACGAGGAAUGUAAAGGCUGGAAGGAUGAGGGGGAGGAGGAAGGUGAGAGCAGGGCACCUGAGGGCUCUGAACACACCUGGGUGCACAGAUGCGGUGGGUGUGACCACGAGGAGGCAGUGGGUCACCAAAGGGUGCUUGUCCAGCCAAGGACGCAGGUGAACCGUCUCAUCCUCAGCAAGGGAAGCGGAAUAUCACCGGUUAGCUCGUAGGCUCAGAGUAACUACCAGUGUGAGCAGGGAUUACAGGUUCUGCAGAACUCUCGUGGAUUUCCUCAUUUAGUUUUUGUAGCAAUGCUAUAAGUUCAUCCAGCUUAGGGGAGAGGAAACUGAAACUCGUCAAGUGAUUUAGUCAAGGUGAAGCCGUUGGUGAUGGGGUCAGGACCCCAGUCGUGGUUUUCAGACACCGCACUUGGUGUUCUGGAGAUGUUUUUUUCCUGCUCUUUAGCUUUGCUGGGUAGAUUUGCCGCUGGAGAUUUUGGACCAGGUCUGCCAGAGGGAGCAUCAUUUCCCUUUGCUGGAGCAGCUUUCUUAUUAAGAAUGUCACCUGUGACUGUGCAUUCACAAUGUGUGCCUUUGGGGGAUUGACCCCUCUGAGGGGAUUGUAGGAUGAUAUCAUUUUCACAGCCUUCAGAGGACUCACAGAUGACAUUAGCUGGCUGGGGCAUUCAUCAGCCACACCAGGACUGAUGCAGUCAGAUGCACUAGUGUUGGUCAGCCUUCUAUCACUGUAACAGUCACCUAGACGAUCAACUUAGAAGAAAGGCUUGUUUGGGCGCAUGUUUUGGAGGUUUCAGGCCGUGAACACUUAGCCCUAUUGCUUUACACCCCACGGUGGGAGUGUGUGGUGUAGCAAAACCACUCACUGCAUGGCUGAAAAAGAGGAAGAAGCCAGCAUCCAGAAUCCCCUUCAAGGGUUUACCUAAAAGCACACAACAAAACAAAUUCCAACGAAAUUGAUUAAAUGGAGGACAAUGACAGUAUAAGAUAUGAGAAAACAAAGAUGAAUGCUUUAGGAUUUUAUAGUAAGAAGAAUGGCCUUUUUACAUUAACAAAAGCCAUCCAGGAAAAGGCUAAUGGCACUGAUUGUACAAUAACUUAAAACUACCACAGACUAAAUCAAUAGGCAAACAAUAUAAGCUCUUCACAACCCUUACCUCCUCCACCAAACAACAAGAAGUUAAAUUCCUUAAAAUAGAAAAAGUCUGGAGAGCUUGGCUGGGAGCACCCUCAGGGUGGAAAUUCAUGGAGAGUGACUAGGCUCAGGAGAGCGCCAUAUUCACUAUUACCAUUUUGUUACAGUGAAGGAAGGAGACUAAGGUCUGCAGAGGGAAGAGACCCACAGAGCAGCGUCUGAGGGGGUCCAAGUGCAGGUUUUGGCCUUUACCUUAGCCUUACUUCCUGGCCACAGUGGGAUACACAUAGUAUUGCUAACUGAGGGACUCAUCAGGGCCUCUGGUGUGCAGAGGGUCGAAGCCCCAUCCCAAGUCAAAUAAUCUUUGCCUUGGCUCAGUGCAGGGUUUCAGAGCCCCAGCAAUCACUUCCCAGCAGCCAAGGGCCAAAGCCAGAGGUUAGUUCUUCACUAAAGAGAAACUCAGCAUAUUGUGCCUAUCAAGUUGAUCAAGUUGUGUCAUUGUUGGGACGCAGUCCUGGACAUUUCAACACACCCCAGUGGACUGCCAACUGCAGCCUGAGGACCUUUUAUUUUUUCAUUUUUUAACUACAGAAGACCUCUCCUGCCCCACACCCUUGCAGCUCCCUCAAACAGCCCUCCUCAGUGUCUCCUGCCUUAGGGGAACAGUCUGAGGCAUUCUGUACCAUCUCCCACAGUCUCCCUGGGACAUUAGACUUGGGUUGUCCAUUGUGAUAGCUGGCGUAGGGACCCACGACUAUGGGCCACCUGUGCCUUUGGAUGCCCGUUAUCCAUUUCCCCUGUUCUAUCCGUGUUACUCAAACUUAUUGCAUUUCUUGCACCUGAAUCCUUGUCUCAAGGUCUGCUUCUGGGAGAUACCAAAACAAAGACAUGUGGCAGGAAUGUGUGCAGAUAGACACUCUCAUCCUCUCCUUUGUGGAGUGUAAACCAAUUCAGCGUAUCUGGUGGGGACUUUGGAAAUAUUUAUCAAGUUGACUUAAAACAUGCCUAGUCUUUGUGUGUAUUAGCUUUCUGUCACUAUAGCAAAUACCUGGAUAAUGAACUUAGGAAGACAAAGGUUCGUUUUGGCUCAGGUUUGGAGGUUUCAUGCCCACCGUGGUGAGGCAGCAUAUCAUGGUAGGGAACACCAGCUGAAUCUUAGAACCACCAACACAAAAAAAUUCACAGCAUACAAAGAAACCCACCAUAUCACUUCCCCUGUAAUGCUCUUCUCUAAAUUGGCCUUCCUCUGGCAUCCUAACCCAACACCUUUGUUGUCUCAAUCCGGCUAACAGGUUCGUAACAUCUUAACCUGGUACAGAGAAAGUAGAAGAUUUUGUGAAAAUUAUUUACACUGAAUAUGCAGUUUCCUUUUGGUUCUACCUGCUGCUAGAAUGAUGAACAAUGAAAUGUUAUCCAACUAUAAGCUUUUUACCUUAUGUGAUGCUACAAUAAUCUUUGUUGCUCUCUUGUUAGGUGUGAUUUAAAAUCAGCCUUAAUUAUUUUGGCUUGGAAAUAUGCAUAAUUCUUCAUUACUUAUUUUUUCCUUUUUUUUUAAAUUGGUUUGUCUUAGUGUUAUACAUGAUGGGGAAAAGGGAACACUCAUACAUUGUUGGUGGGACUGCAUAUUGGUGCAACACUCUGGAAAGCAGUAUGGAGGUUCCUUAAAAGACUAGGAAUGGAACCACCAUUUAACCCAGUUAUCCCACUCCUUGGCAUAUAUCCAAAGGACUUAAAAACAGCAUACUACAGUGACACAGCUACAUCAAUGUUUAUAGCAGCACAAUUCAAAUAGCUAAGCUAUGGAACUAACCUAGGUGCCCAUCAACAGAUGAAUGGAUAAAGAAAUUGUGGUAUAUAUACACAAUUGAGUAUUAUUCAGCCAUAAAGAAGAAUGACUUUAUGACAUUUGCCAGUAAAUGGAUGGAUCUGGAGACUAUCAUGCUAAGUGAAAUAAGCCUAUCCCCAAAAAACAAAGGUCGAGUGUUAUCUCUGAUAUGUGGAUGCUAACCCACAAUAACGUGGGGGAAGGGAAGAAGAGAAGUUUAGUAGAUGAGACAAAGGGGAACGAAAGGGAGAGGGGGAAAUGGGAAUAGGAAAGACAGUAGAAUAAAUCUCACAUACUUUUCUUAUUUACACAUAUGAAAUUACCUAAGUGAAUCCCACCAUCAUGCCCACCUGUGAGAAUGGAGUCCUGUUUAGAAUAGGAUAUAUUCCAUGCUUGUAUGAUUUUAUCGGAAUGGAUUCUAUGGUCACGGACAUGCAAAUUUUAAAAAAGAUCUGUGAGCAAUAAACCGCGCUAAGGAAGCAGCUGUGAAUCCUGCACCUUGGUGAUGUGACGACCUGUGUUGGCAAACUUGAGGUGCCUGGCUGGCUCAGGAAAGAAUGCAACCUGGCCGAGUGUGCUUCCUUGGUGCUGCAUGUUAGAUUCCCCGGCAAGCGCCUGUCUGUGUCCUGGGACCCUGUGACUGACCGUGUGAACUGUGGCUCCACUCCCUUCUCAAGUGGAAAGCUGCCCUGCAGGAAGGGCAGAGCAGGAAGAGGGGCAGCUGCCUUAGAGUGAGCCGCCCUGGAUGAGGCCGUCCAGCUCCUUUGGAGGACUGUGACGAAGGUUAAGACUAGCUUUGGGGUGGAUUUGGGAGGAGCUGCUGUUUAAUUAUGGGGCUCGCUUUCAAAGGAAAGCUGACAGGCAGCCCAGCACCUCCCAGAAGGUUCUUGCCAACACAGAGACCUGUGUCUGCUGUGGCCACCCUACUAGAAGGGGUCAUGGUGGUUAAGGAGAAGUUUUUCUGCAACAAGGACCGAUGAGGGGGAUUGAGGAUAUUUCAAAAGUCCCAUAAAGCAUUUUAUUCACCUCCGCUUAAAAACCAAGCCCACGAAAUGCAGGUUCUGGGGUGAAGGAGCGCUGGGCUUGCUCACAGCUGGUGGAGGCUGUGGGCAGCCUGCGCUCAGGACUGGGGCUGAGUCUGGGGGACUGGCUCCUCUCUGCGCUGUUUCCAAAAGCCAGGAGGUGUGAGCAGAGUGGCCGUGGGUUCUGGGGAUUAGGGCAUGGCGUCUUUGAGGGAUUAUUAUUCUGCCUGCGGUGCGUGUAUAACUGAGGCAGAAAGUGGGAUUUUAACAGAGAACAGCUGUUCUUAGGUGGGACUGGAUUUCUAACCGCCUGUGCUCUUUUCUGGCCCCUCAAACUGAACGUGUCCCCAGUGGUGUCAUCGGCUUCCCUGGCAGACCUGCCCAUCUCCUCUUGGCUGGUGCUGCUGGCCAGAUCUCAACCUCACCCUUCCUUCAUCUCGUGUGACAACCAUUGUAAGUCCUAGGGAUCCCGUUUCCGUGAGAAUACUAUCACCCAUCCCUUUUCCCUGUUCCCAGGGUCACUUUCUCAUUUCAGAACUUUAUGUUCUUUUCUCCGAUUAUGAACUGGUUUUCCCAGUUGCCCUACCCAGUCUCCCCGGCUCCAGUUCCCACCCCUCUGUCGGUGGCAAUAAUAGUCACUGUAGUGGAACCCUGCAUGUAGGAUCCCGUUAAUCCUCAUAACCAAGACAGCUGAGCCCAGCCCUCGGGCAGGCCCGAGGCAGAAGUUCAAGGACACGGCCCAUCAGAGACAAGAAGACACCAUAGGAGCCACAUUCGCCAGGAGCGCCUGUUCUAGUUUCCUUACCCAGUUCAAGGAGAGCAGAGGCCUCAGAGAAGGACACGUUUGCAGGGUGGAAUGUCGAAGCUGCUUGGAAAGCCGGGGAUUGCUGCCGGGCAGGGUUGGACGUUUCCUUUUGAAGAACUUGACUAACAACAUACAAGGAGGCCUGAUUGGAGGGGCUUCCUGUUGUUGCAGCCUAAAGACCCACCGUCAGGUCCCAUCACACAGAUGAGGCUCAGAGGGUGGAAGUCACCCCAAGUCGCAGAGGCAGCAGGUGACAGAACUGGCCCUCUAUUUUAGGACCCAAGUUCCCUGUGCUUCCCACUCCAGGGUUUGCCUGCACCCUGCUCACAGCCUCGCUUCUCACUCUUUUCUCUGAGCCUCAAUGUGGCAGUGAAGCCCAACUCCACUCCUGGGACCUAACUGUCCCUCCUUUAUGCCUUUUCCUCUAUGGUUCCCUCUGCCUAAACAGUCCUGGAGCCUGUCCCAACCCUGGAAAGCCCGGAAGCCACACUGCUGGCUCCAGGAGGCUGAGUCUCACCGGGAAGAGCUGUUGAUCACCAGCUGUUGGCCUCAGGACUCAGUGACCGAGAGGAUGGGGUUGGGCCUUGAUGGAAGGGUGUGAGGGACUGGAGUCAUUCACGUCUGCUCUCCUGUCAUCUGAGGUCCCAGCAUCGUGGCAUUCCUGAAGCAGAGACCAGGCCCUCACCAGCCACCAAACCUCCGCUGUCUUCAUCUUGGGCCCUCAUCAGCCUCCAAAAGAGUGAGAACUAACUUUCUUUGCUUCCAAGUUACCCAGUCUCAGGUAUUUUGUUACAGCAGCAACGUGGACCAAGAUAGUUAAUUAACAUAGGUGACGGCACCCCCUCAAGAUUAUAAUGGUGCUGAAAAAUCCCCACUGCCUAGUGAUGGGCAGACACCUAACAUCACCGGGAGACACGAUGCUCCUGUGUCAUGGUGAUGUUGGUGUAAACCAACCUGCCGUGCCGCCACAUGAAAGUCACCUGCAAUCGCACACGGUUCACAGUUCUUCAUGAUACGUGACUGUGCUCCUGGUUUGCACAGUUGCUACUUCAUACUUUUCCCGUGAUGUGCAUGCCCUCUACCUCUAAAGACAAGUUUUCCGUAAAAAACAUGUUACGCCUGCAGCAGCAUCACACACCUUGUACCCACCGCAUCCUGGUGGCAUCCAGAGGCCACAUGGCACGGGCCGUACCCUCGAGGUUAGUGUAAGCACACGGCACUUGCACAAUAGCAGAACUGCCUAAAGGCAAAGUUCUCAGCCUGCUUCCUGUCAUUAAGCAACAGCCACUGAGUUAAAGCUGGAGACCCAGAAGGGAGGUGUAGUUUUCGCUUCUGUGUCCUUCCACAGAUCAUUUCUUCUCCACCUCUGUGGGGGUGACCCUCCCACCUCCAGUGCCCAGCCCUUCCUGGGCCCACACCACCCAGCUUGACAGCUUGACACGGUCAUCAAGCUAUUACUGAGCCCCUGCCGCAUGAAAGGCUGUGGGUCGUGUUCUGGGGGAGCAGGGAAGGCUCUGCAGAGGCAGUGGGAUUCAGGAUCAGAGGCUGCGUCUGAUGGAAGAGGUGGAAAGUGGGUGGGGUAAAGUCAUGCCCGACAGCGAAGUUCAGCUCCUACUCUUCUUGUUACUGGCUUUGUAAUCUUGAAAAAAGGGAAUCAUAUAAUUGCUUUGGAAAUCAGUUUCCUCAUAUGUGACAUGUAAGUAAUCAGAUCUAUGUUGUAGGGUGGUGGUAAGAUUAAUGUGAAAGCCCUAUAUUGGUUAGAAGGCUUCCGGUUGAAAGUGCUCUGAAUGAAGUUAAGAUACAACACGGACCAGCAUCUUCUGUGGUCACUAUUGAAGUGACAGACCUUUCUGUCACCUUUCUCCACGUCACCAACGUUCCCACCUUAUGAUGCCUACCAUCUUGCUUGCUGAAGACGGCAGUUUUCUUCCUUCUGCGGGGCACCGUGGAUGGGCGCUCCGUCACCAGGACUGAAGACUGCCUGGUUUUCCAAGGGAGGGGGAACUGAAUUGUCUCCACCUUCUCUGCCUAUGCUUUGUCAUUUUAAGUCUGCGCCUGUGCUCAUUGGUGUCUCUUCUCCUGGGACGUGGCAUCUUCUUAGCCUGGUCAGCAAUUACUGGCCCAGUAAGAGCCAGCUGAGGUGCCUCUCUGGAGUCCUUUUGGCCUCCUAGUCUGGCUUAGUUCACCUUGACCAAGGGCACUGCUCUCUAAUUGCACAAUACCCCACCCUGCUUACACUAGGCUCUUCGGCCCUUGGAGACUGGCACACAGUACUCACUUAUUAGGUGACUGUUGAAUGAGUGUGUACAUUUCUCCAGUCUCUCCCAGCCCUGUCUUUUUACUCCCUGCACCAAGCAGGGUGGGGUAAAGUCAUGCCCGACAGUGCAUUUCUUUCUCUUGUUCAGCAUUGUUAAUGGAUUUUCAUUAGAGACACUUCCCGCUCUGACCAUCAAUAAUGAUCCCAGGUGUUAAUUGUAAUGGUAACACUAGAUCUUGCACUAUUUGCUCAGCAACUUUACUUUUAUAAGCUCCUUUAAAAGUUCCUUUGUUGCCUUUUUUUCUUUCCUACUAAAGGACUAUCCUUGACCUUGGGGUGGGAGGUACUGUCCUGUUAAGGUCCCACCUUAGGAAAAUAAACCCUAUAGUGAAAUACAAGUUGAAGAUCUGGGUGCAUCAAGAGUAGUGAAUAUUUUAUUUCCUUAUAAUGCAAAGGCACUGUAGUUCCUCCCCUCUUUAUGUUAGGUUUAAAUUACUGUAUUGUGUUUCAUGUAAUUUAAGCCAGAAGAACAAGUUGGGAUGGACAAUUGUAUUUAAAUGUCAGUUCAGAGUUCAAAGAGGUAGCCUUGAAAGAGUUAUAGAAACAGGAAUGUCCUGCAGGAGAAUAAAACAAAACAACAAUAACAACAGGCAAACCCAACAAAACCCCAACCAAAUGAAAACCCCACAAAUGAACAAACAAACAAGCAAAAGAGGGAAGUUUUCACUGUUUUCCAAAAAGGAUAGAUUGGCAAAGAGAAAAGGAGUCUCAGGACUUCACUGUUUAGUGAGUCCUCAGCCAGGAAGGAGAGCUGUUCUUUAGGGAGUCGGGAACUGUGACAAGGGGUAUUGUACCUGAGGAUGGAAGCAGCCGUCAGGUGAUAGCUCCCUGGGCAGCAAGGAGGAGGCAACUCAUGGAGGGCCUGGGGUCCGGAGCUCAGGGACACUGAUCACCAGCUGUUGGCCUGAUCAACUUACUUGCCUUCCUGGAUGUUGCUUCCUUAUCUGUAAAAUGCAGGCCGAGUUGUCAAAUUUAGCAAAUAAAAAUGCAGGAAGAUCAGUUAAAUUUGAGUUUCAGGUAAACAAUACUUAUUUUUCAUAUAAAUACAUUCUAUGAAAUAUUUAUGUCCCAUGCAAUAACUGUGUCCCGAGUGUUGCGUGGGAGACAUGCUAAACUACUAUUUCUUAUGUAUCUGAAAUUCUGAUUUAACUUUGCAUUCUGUGUUUUAUCUGGCGACAUAAAUGUGUGUGUGUGUGUGUGUGUGUGUGUAUUUGGGAGGGGUUGAUAUGAGUAUCUUGUAGGGGUGUUGUGAAUUAAAAAUAAUACUACAUUUAUGUCUUACCACUGGUAAGGUUUUAAACUAUGGUAUAGUCAAAAACCAAUGGACGUGGGGGUAAGAGGGUAAAAAAGAAAGAUGGUGGAAUGAGAUGGACAUGUAUGAAGAAGACACAAAUGGUGUGAAUAUGUGUACAGCAGAGAUAUGAAAAAUUGUGCUCUAUAUUUGCAAUAUGAUUUGCAAUGCAUUGUGCUAUCAUAUAUAACAAAUUAGAAUAAAAAAAUUUUAAAAAGGACAUUUUUUAGUAUAAUAGUUAAUAUUAAUAAAUGUCUCUAAAUGUCAUUUUGCCCUAUGGGAGCUUGGGGGAUAGUUCUGACUUUAAACUAAGGAGAGAUGAGUCAUAGUCAAGUCUGGGAGUAAGAUAAUUAGGCAGUGAUAAUCACUAUAUAUUAUAAUUAAUUACUUAUGUUUUCUUUUAAGAGUUUGUUCCCUGGGGUAUUGUACCUAAAUGAUUUUUAACUUGUGCUUUUGUUUUAGGUAUUUAUUGUCUUAGUUUUAUUCUGAAACUGAAGGAAAACAUUUAACUGUAUCUUGAAGAAACUAGGCGGCCAUGUUAAACCUGUUGGUGGGUCUUCCGGGAGGGAAGAAAGGCUUCUACUGCCCCCUGGUGGUCAUGUACUCUAACUGAUGUACGCAAGAGCCACCCUAGGGGUUUUGUUGAACUGAGGGCACCAAGCUGUGUCUACCAGGGACUGUGUCCUUUGCAGCUGGCUAAGAGAGGUGAAGCAGGGAAAAUGGGGGAAGUCCUUCCCACUCCUGGGUGCUGCAGGUCUCUGGCCUGAAGUAAAGAAGUGCAGGAGAGGCUUUGGGCUGGGCAGAGUCCAGAGCCUUGCGAUGACAGUUCCCUUAAGGCCAAGACAAAGGGCUUCUUCCUUUAACGGCCACGUGAGGUCAGCAGAGUCUGUGGUUGCCUAGCUUUGAUCCCAAGCUAGGAGAGGGCAAACCAGGCAGUGGGCUGAAGGAACCAAGAACAAAGGGGACAAAGAAAGCUUUUGCUCACAUCCUGUUGCAUGUGGCUCACUCACUCAGCAGGUGUUAAAUGCAUAACUGUAUCACAAGAUUAAACCUUGUGUGCGGGAGGUGAGUUCAGAGAUGCUGAAGGUGAGCAGGUGAACCAAAUAGUAGUUGGAUCUUGGCUUCUCUUCUUCCACACGAAUACGCAGAGGUGGAAAUCAGGGAGUAUCCAGGGUAAAGUUAUCAGUAGAGUCUAGGAUUCUAGUAAAACCCCCCAUUAAAAAAAAUAAUGUAACAAAUCUGUAAGCUCAUUGUUGUAGGGACGUAACUGGAGUCUAGUUUGGGUCUCCUGACCUAAGAAGGGCUCCUUCCUUUUGUCCUGUCUUCUGUCUCAGUGGUUCUUUCCAAGCCCUGCAGGGACAUGCGGGGUGGGAACCUUCCAUACCUGUCCCCCAGCCUCCCCCACCUCCUCUGACCUCUCAGUUUCCCUCCUCUGUAGCUCAAACCAUGCUAACCCUCGAGGGCUGCCGGCAGUCUGCCCAGGCCUCCCCACCACCGCCUCAGGGUGGGUUAGGAUCUCUGUUUGCAAGUGAGGACCUGGAGCAGGGGCGACUUGCCGGGGCCUCCUCACUUUUUUUAAGAGUGAAAGGUUUUGAGACACCUACAAGUGGAAAAUGUGCUCC
rnacentral:lncRNA from 1 species